UAGGGAAUCUUCGGCAAUGGGGGGAACCCUGACCGAGCAACGCCGCGUGAGUGAAGAAGGUUUUCGGAUCGUAAAGCUCUGUUGUUAAGGAAGAACGAGUGUGAGAAUGGAAAGUUCAUGCUGUGACGGUACUUAACCAGAAAGGGACGGCUAACUACGUGCCAGCAGCCGCGGUAAUACGUAGGUCCCGAGCGUUGUCCGGAUUUAUUGGGCGAAAGCGAGCGCAGGCGGUUAGAAAAGUCUGAAGUGAAAGGCAGUGGCUCAACCAUUGUAGGCUUUGGAAACUGUUUAACUUGAGUGCAGAAGGGGAGAGUGGAAUUCCAUGUGUAGCGGUGAAAUGCGUAGAUAUAUGGAGGAACACCGGUGGCGAAAGCGGCUCUCUGGUCUGUAACUGACGCUGAGGCUCGAAAGCGUGGGGAGCGAACAGG
rnacentral:rRNA from 1 species